rnacentral:rRNA from 1 species
AUUGAACGCUGGCGGCAGGCCUAACACAUGCAAGUCGAGCGGAUGAAGGGAGCUUGCUCCUGGAUUCAGCGGCGGACGGGUGAGUAAUGCCUAGGAAUCUGCCUGGUAGUGGGGGAUAACGUCCGGAAACGGGCGCUAAUACCGCAUACGUCCUGAGGGAGAAAGUGGGGGAUCUUCGGACCUCACGCUAUCAGAUGAGCCUAGGUCGGAUUAGCUAGUUGGUGGGGUAAAGGCCUACCAAGGCGACGAUCCGUAACUGGUCUGAGAGGAUGAUCAGUCACAAUGGAACUGAGACACGGUCCAGACUCCUACGGGAGGCAGCAGUGGGGAAUAUUGGACAAUGGGCGAAAGCCUGAUCCAGCCAUGCCGCGUGUGUGAAGAAGGUCUUCGGAUUGUAAAGCACUUUAAGUUGGGAGAAAGGGCAGUAAGUUAAUACCGUGCUGUUUGGAGGUUACCAACAGAAUAAGCACCGGCUAACUUCGU